GAUGAAGAACGCAGCGAAAUGCGAUAAGUAAUGUGAAUUGCAGAAUUCAGUGAAUCAUCGAAUCUUUGAACGCACAUUGCGCCCGCCAGUAUUCUGGCGGGCAUGCCUGUUCGAGCGUCAUUUCAACCAUCAAGCCCCCGGCUUGUGUUGGGGACCUGCGGCUGCCGCAGGCCCUGAAAACCAGUGGCGGGCUCGCUGUCACACCGAGCGUAGUAGAUUUUCAUCUCGCUCAGGGCGUGCUGCGGGUUCCGGCCGUAAAAAGCCUUAUUUACCCAAGGUUGACCUCGGAUCAGGUAGGAAGACCCGCUGAACUUAAGCAUAUCAAUAAGCGGAGGA
rnacentral:misc_RNA from 1 species